rnacentral:lncRNA from 1 species
CACGUAUAUUUGUUGAUCACGGACUAACCAAUUUAAUUAUCAUAGUUAACCAAAUACUUUUUGUGACCACUAUCAACACUUACGACCACUAUCUCACUAGCGCCACCACCACAACUCCCGAAAUUGGUCACAAACCCGGAAAAUAGUUGGUCACAAAUAUUUUCAUACUACAUCACCACCACAAACCGCAACCACCACACCAUCAUCAACACUUCCACCAUCGUCGCUACGUCAGUUGCCACGCCACUACCACCUCUAUUUCCAAACCACCAAAUCCCCUAUGUGUCAUGUCUUCUGUCGGCCACAUCAAACCACUACCAACACUACAAAAACCAUCACAACAACUACCACUCAAAUCGUCACAUCGCACGCAGCUGGGAACUAAACACCGACGGCACAUAGGCGAUGAAGCCAACAUCGAUAAAGAAGAAAAAAGGGCCAGCUAGGCCUAAACAAGCGACUCAGUAGGAACACUACGACCUCUUCACGACCAACAAUACCAUCGUCUCACCCCACCAUCACCGUAAAACCACCAAAACAUGAAAAUCACUAUCAUCCAUCCAACAAUUGAAAAAAUAAUAAUAAAAUAAAAAUAAAAAAAAUCCACCAACACAAUCUGGACCACUGCAGCCACGAUCUGUGCCAUCAUCAUUACGAUCUACGCCGCUUCAGCCAUGAUCUACAGUGCUUUUGGCGAUCUAGCCGCUGUUGGCACGAUUUGCAGUCAAUAAAUGCUUUACCCCUGGCGCUCACGGCAAAGAUGGUCUCCAUUAGUGGUGGUAAAUAUGAGGAAAAGGGUAGAGAGAGACAACGAUUUGAAAAAUGAUGGUCUACGGCGAUGGCGAUGGUCCAUUUGUGGCAGUGGGCAGAGAGAAAUGAUCUGUAGAUGGAUG